rnacentral:rRNA from 1 species
AAUCAACGCUGGCGGCGUGCCUAACACAUGCAAGUCGAACGCGAAAGUCCCGCAAGGGGCAAGUAGAGUGGCAAACGGGUGAGUAACACGUGGGUGACCUGCCUUCGAGUGGGGGAUAACGCCCCGAAAGGGACGCUAAUACCGCAUGACAUCCUGCCUUUGAACAGGUGGAGAUCAAAGCAGGGGAUCGCAAGACCCAGCGCUUGAAGACGGGCACGCGCCUGAUUAGCUAGUUGGUGGGGUAACGGCUCACAAAGGCGACGAUCAGUAGCCGGUCUGAGAGGACGAUCAGCCACACUGGGACUGAGACACGGCCCAGACUCCUACGGGAGGCAGCAGUGGGGAAUUUUGGACAAUGGGCGAAAGCCUGAUCCAGCAAUGCCGCGUGUGUGAAGAAGGCCUUCGGGUUGUAAAGCACUUUUGUCCGGAAAGAAAUGGCUCUGGUUAAUACCUGGGGUCGAUGACGGUACCGGAAGAAUAAGGACCGGCUAACUACGUGCCAGCCGCCGCGGUAA